rnacentral:rRNA from 1 species
AGAGUUUGAUCUGGCUCAGAACGAACGCUGGCGGCAGGCCUAAUACAUGCAAGUCGAACGAACCUUCGGGUGAGUGGCGCACGGGUGAGUAACACGUGGGAACGUACCCUUCACUGCGGAACAACGUCGGGAAACUGACGCUAAUACCGCAUAAUGUCUCCGGACCAAAGAUUUAUCGGUGAAGGAUCGGCCCGCGUUAGAUUAGGUUGUUGGUGGGGUAAUGGCCUACCAAGCCUACGAUCUAUAGCUGGUCUUAGAGGAUGAUCAGCCACACUGGGACUGAGACACGGCCCAGACUCCUACGGGAGGCAGCAGUAAGGAAUAUUGGACAAUGGGCGCAAGCUUGAUCCAGCCAUGCCGCGUGAGUGACGAAGGCCUUAGGGUUGUAAAGCUCUUUCAGGUGCGAAGAUAAUGACUGUAACACCAGAAGAAGCCCCGGCUAAAUUCGUGCCAGCAGCCGCGGUAAUACGAAUGGGGCGAGCGUUGUUCGGAAUCACUGGGCGUAAAGCGUAUGCAGGCGGACAUGCAAGUCAGAAGUGAAAUCCCAGGGCUUAACCCUGGAAUGGCUUUUGAAACUGCAUGUCUAGAGUCU